AUCCAGCUGACGAGUCCCAAAUAGGACGAAACGUGCGUCCUGGAU
rfam:Schistosoma rodhaini strain Burundi genome assembly, scaffold: SROB_scaffold0003523